CGCGAGCAGAGAAGCAACAUCUUUAAGGUACUGAGGGCAGGGGAAGUUAGCCUAGAAUACUAUGCCAGAAAAAAUAAAUUCUCAAAAGUGGAAGUGAAAUAAGGACAUUUAGAGAUGUACAAAAGCUGAACGAAUUCACUACCAGCUGACCCACACUACAAGAAACGUCAAAGGAGUCCUCCAGGCAGAAGGAAUCCAAUACCAGAUGAAAAUCCAGAUCUACACGAGGAAAUGAAGAACACCAGAAAUGGCCACCUGAAGAUACAGUGGGAAGAUGGCAGCCUACAUACCAGGAAGAGGUUCCUCACCAUAAGCCUUCCAUGCUGGCACCUUCAUCUUAGACUUCCAAACUCCAGAACCGUGAGAAAUGUCUGUUGUGGAUGAGCCACCUAGUUUAUGGUACAUUGUUAUAGAAGUUCCAACUAAGACAGAGAAGGAAGGUGUCUAAUUUGUGAUGCUAUUCAUUGUGUUCUUUGAGUGGGAUGUUGCAAAUUAGAAAGUGAGGGAGAGCUGAACUUUCCUGCAUAUGAAAGAAGAGAGUAGAGGGGCAGAGAUACAGAAUGGGGAAGAACAAGCUGGUGCCAGAAAACUGAUUUCAGGGUCUGGCACUUGAAUGACUUUGGAGAAAGAGAAAACACUGAUAGGUGUAUCCAGAGAAGAAGACCUUCAGCGGAAACAGCAGAUAUUUAAAAGCCAUUCGAUUACAUCUUUCACUUGUUUGUGUGUAGUCCCUCUUUUCCCAUCUUUGUAAGUUUGGCACAGGUGAACUGGAUAUGUUUGUCCAAUGUGUUUUUGGAAUGCACGUGUAAAUAAAAAUGACCGUGUUAUACUUCAACGAUUUAUCCUGGAAACUCCUAGAGUUCCCUUAGGUUCUGACAACUGUGCAUUGAAAGCACAAACGGCCCAUCGUGGGGACUAAUUUUCAUUGCACACUUCUAGGCAGAGGGAGGAGGAAGGAGAAUGUGACAGUCUCAGCAACAGUUACUAUACUCUUACGAAAGUGGUUUUCCUAAGUGCUUCUCAACAGAUCAGCCCUUUCUUCAAAUAAGAGCAGAUGGAACAACAAAAGCUCUUUGGUUGUACCGUUGGAAUCCAUGGAAAUCCUGCGUAAGGAAGCUCCAGUACCACCAACUGGAAAGACUGGGGAUGCCUAGUAGCUGGUACUGGCCAUUGUCGUAGGCUUUGUCCACUUUGACAAACUGAAGAUGGGGACUCGACUCACCAUUGCCAGCCACAGGAGGACCUCCAGACAAGGACAGGACUCCCGUCAGAAAGGGAUCCCUUGGGGCAGGACUGAAGUGAGUAGCUGGUUUCCCCUACAUGUCCUUCCGGGCCUGGGUGUCUCAAGAGCUCAGGCUGACCGAAGACCUAAUUACCAGCAAGUUGGACCAGCAGGAGCCUGGGUGGAAGUUUGGCGCCAGGAGUCCAGAACAGCAGUCAAAUCCUCUUCUUACCUGUGCACUGUGCACCUGCUUCCCCGGGAUGCGGAAGGAAGUGGUCCCUAAGAUUUCUCUGCAGGCCCAACCUAAACAGGCCUGAAGCCCCAGGAGGGGCCAGAGGAUCCUCUUUGAGUGAAACCACCCUUCUGCCUGGCUGGCCCUGGUCAACACACUCAGAAGAGGCCGAAUUGGCAGACAGAACGGAAGAAAAGACCUAAAGGUAGAAUCUCAUGAUGUUCAGAUGUUAAAACCUUCCAAUUUUAAGGUCCGACUGUGCGGGGGAGUGAGGAGUUCUAGAGCUGGGUGGACCCCUGAGCCUUUAUCUGGAGAGUGUUCUGCACAAGCUCAGAGGGCAGGACUAUGUGUACCAAUGGUUUUCAACAGGCGGCAACUUCACCCUCACAUGCCUCCCCCAUCCUUGCUGGGACACUAGGCCGCCACUAGGGAAACCCCAGAGGGAGAAUGUUAACCCCUGGCAUCUCUCUAGUCAGCAGAGAGGAGGGAUGCUGCUAAACACCUUACAAUCCCCCGGCCCCUCCCCAACCCCGAAGUAGCCAUUCCGGGGAGGUGGAGAAACUCGCCUGUAGAUCAAUGCCUACCCACUUGGCCGAUGGGAAAUCACGAAUUGGCGACCAAUUGGAUCUUGGAUAUGAGGAAAAAACUCCAGCAUCAGAGGAAACUCUCGGAAUUUUGCCCAGAGUAUAAGGAAGGGUAGCAUUGCCUUCGCCUAAGAUGGGAAAAUGGCAGGUGUCACUGAUUGCAGGGGAAGGUCAGAGAUCAGUUGAGGGCCCCGGAGUCUCCCUGGAAAGAGUUUUCCAUGCAGCUCGUCUCGGUUUCCACAUGUGUGUGAGUCCUUUAUGAUGUUGGGGAUGCCAAGGUCUGAGUCCUUUUUGAUGUUCGGGGUGACCGGGUCUCAUCCCAGGAGCCUCCUUGCUCCUGCCUGCUCCUGGCUACCCGGUGCGGCGCUCUGGUCCCGGCGACCCACGACUGUUUCUCCACGCGCUGCUGCUUCCCAAAGGUACAUCUCUAGGUCAGUGGUCAGGUGCAGCCUGGACGCUGCAACUCGCUCCAGGACUCGGGACUCAUGGCCUUGGUGGACCUCGCGGAGUGCUGGGUGCGUCACCUGCUGGCUUCUCUUUUGGAGAAAGGAGGAAGGGAAAAGCCUUGUGAAAAGACUCCAGGAGCGACCAACGACCCCCACAAGUCUCAAGUCCUCCCAGUGCAGAGGGAAACAAUCACUAAUAUGGCAAGAAGUUUGGGAAAGACCCUUCGGUGCGCCCCUGCUGGUCUAGUGGUUAGGAUUCAGCUCUUCCACCACCGCACCCCCGGUGAGAUUACUGGUCAGGAAAUUGUUUUGCACUGACCGC